rnacentral:rRNA from 1 species
GACGAACGCUGGCGGCGUGCUUAACACAUGCAAGUCGAACGGAAAGGCCCUGCUUUUGUGGGGUGCUCGAGUGGCGAACGGGUGAGUAACACGUGAGUAACCUGCCCUUGACUUUGGGAUAACUUCAGGAAACUGGGGCUAAUACCGGAUAGGAGCUCCUGCUGCAUGGUGGGGGUUGGAAAGUUUCGGCGGUUGGGGAUGGACUCGCGGCUUAUCAGCUUGUUGGUGGGGUAGUGGCUUACCAAGGCUUUGACGGGUAGCCGGCCUGAGAGGGUGACCGGCCACAUUGGGACUGAGGUACGGCCCAGACUCCUACGGGAGGCAGCAGUGGGGAAUAUUGCACAAUGGGCGGAAGCCUGAUGCAGCGACGCCGCGUGCGUGAUGACGGCCUUCGGGUUGUAAACCGCUUUCGCCUGUGACGAAGCGUGAGUGACGGUAAUUGGUAAAGAAGCACCGGCUAACUACGUG